rnacentral:rRNA from 1 species
GAUGAACGCUGGCGGCGUGCCUAAUACAUGCAAGUCGAGCGAACAGACGAGGAGCUUGCUCCUCUGACGUUAGCGGCGGACGGGUGAGUAACACGUGGAUAACCUACCUAUAAGACUGGGAUAACUUCGGGAAACCGGAGCUAAUACCGGAUAACAUGUUGAACCGCAUGGUUCAACAGUGAAAGACGGUCUUGCUGUCACUUAUAGAUGGAUCCGCGCCGCAUUAGCUAGUUGGUAAGGUAACGGCUUACCAAGGCAACGAUGCGUAGCCGACCUGAGAGGGUGAUCGGCCACACUGGAACUGAGACACGGUCCAGACUCCUACGGGAGGCAGCAGUAGGGAAUCUUCCGCAAUGGGCGAAAGCCUGACGGAGCAACGCCGCGUGAGUGAAGAAGGUCUUCGGAUCGUAAAACUCUGUUAUUAGGGUAGAACAAAUGUGUAAGUAACUAUGCACGUCUUGACGGUACCUAAUCAGAAAGCCACGGCUAACUACGUG